AAAAGAAUGGCUGCUUCAAGUGCUGUCACCGCAAACUACGUCCUCAAGCCACCUCCAUACGCACUGGUUUGAUUUUUUUUUUCUUCUUUUUAAUAAAAAUCGAAAUUGUCGGGCAAAUGGCGUUUUGUUUUCGUUGGAUUAGAGAUUUGGCUUUUGAAUUACUAGAUGCUAUAACUUGUUACGCCCUCAUAGCCCUUAAAAUAUAUUUUAAUCCUAGCCAAAGGCGUCACAAAUGAAUUAUCAUCAGCUAAUGAACCAAAAAGGCGUUACAAAUGAACUCUUCUAAUUUCGUAAUGGAAGAAAAUAAAAAUCGAAUAAAUUUAUGCAUUAGUGAUUUUCGGGAAAUGGAAGGAGUCAAGUAGGGUGGUCCAUAUCGGGUAAAGGCCGUGAAUGUUCUAGUGGGAAAUUUGGGUAUGGGACAACAUAUCUGAAUUGAUUUUGAAACCAUAUUCCAAAACUAUCUCAGUCCGACCCGUUACUCAAACUUUAUUAAAUUGUCUAAAACAUAUUACUAUGUAGUUUGUAAUAAAAAACUGCAGUGUGGUGUAGUGUUAGAUAUAUAAAUUUUUAUAUAAAUUUAUGACCAUUCCUAGUUCAAAUUCAGACGUUCCUUGGUCUCAUAUUUGUGUUCCUUCUAGUGGACCUAUUGGUUAAGUGAGAGCAAUAUGUUGAAAUGUUUUUGUUAUAAAAUUGGAAAGGAUGCUUUGGAGCCGCAUAUGAGCAAACAAACUCUGGAGUUUCACUGGGGAAAGCAUCACAGGGCUUACGUGGAAAACCUCAAGAAACAGGUUCUUGGAACCGAGCUUGAAGGCAAGCCCUUAGAGCACAUUAUCCACAGCACUUACAACAAUGGCGAACUCCUCCCUGCUUUCAACAACGCUGCCCAGGUGAUAACAAACCCGUUUUUAGUUUGAGCUUUUUAAAUGGGUGCGUGAUUGUUUGAGCUGAUGAUGAUCCAGUGGUUGUGUUAAUAGGCGUGGAACCACGAGUUCUUCUGGGAAUCAAUGAAACCCGGUGGUGGAGGAAAACCAUCAGGAGAGCUUCUUGCUUUGCUUGAAAGAGAUUUCACUUCUUAUGAGAAGUUCUAUGAAGAGUUCAAUGCUGCUGCAGCCACUCAGUUUGGAGCUGGCUGGGCCUGGCUUGCUUGUAAGUGUUUCAGAUUUAAAAGCCUAACAUAGAUAUUUUAACUUCUUCCUUACUCUCAUCUCUCUGCUUUCAGAUGCAAAUGAUAAACUCAAAGUAGUGAAAACUCCAAAUGCUGUGAAUCCCCUUGUGCUUGGCUCUUUCGUAAGUUUUCAUGAAAGAACUUGAAUACACAAUUUACUUGACUAGAGAUUGCCGUACAAUUAAUGCAAAUCCUGAAAAUUUAAUAUUGGUCUGUUUUUCAUGCAGCCCUUGCUUACCAUCGAUGUCUGGGAGGUAAAUACACACUUUUAUACCAAAUCCAGUGCUUUUCUUUCUUACAAGUUGAUUGAUAAUUUUUGUUUUCUUUUGGUAAAUGGAACAGCAUGCUUACUACCUUGACUUCCAGGUAACAGCUUAUUCAUAAUUGUUAACAAAACGGUUUAUUUCAGUUUAUUUGUUUUGUUGAUUGUUGUAAUCUAUUUGUAUAUGAGCAGAACCGAAGACCAGAUUACAUAAAGACAUUCAUGACCAAUCUUGUGUCUUGGGAAGCUGUGAGUGCCAGACUUGAGGCCGCAAAGGCUGCUUCUUCCUCUUCUUCUUAAGCAGAGUUCUGAACAAUUUGACUUCAGUGAGUUCUGCACUUACUGGAGUUUUUUUUUUUUAAAUAAAGUAUUGGUCGUUGUAAUAAGGACACAGCUCUCUUGUUCUGUGUCACAGAGUCCUUGAUCUAGGUCUUCUACCUGACUACCUGUGUCAUGAACAAUUACCAUGCUCUUUCUGUGGUUUUUCUUUUGUGUGUGUGUGUGUGUGUUAAGUUUUUUCACCUGUUUUCC
rnacentral:lncRNA from 1 species